rnacentral:lncRNA from 1 species
AUGAAUGGCUGGCCCGGGUGGGGAAGGCAGGAGGCGGCGAUCCCGGCGGAGGGGGCCGUUCGCCAGCUCCGAGGCAGAAAGUGCCACGACUCCACACGCGCGCACGCAGCCAGCGAGCGGCCGGAGCGGACGGCGGACGGGGCGGGCGGCGUCAGGGUCGCGGCGUCUACAGCUGCUCGGGGGCGGUUUCUUGGUGGAGGCUCGGCCGGCUCCUCUCUCCCGGCUCCGCGGCGGCGGCGAAGGCGGCGGCUCCUGCCCUCUCGCUCUCCCUCUCGUGUCUCUGGCUGCAGAAAGAAGCUUCCGGUUCUGAGGUCCUGGAGGUGCCAUUUCCCUCUCUGUUGAAGCAAAGGCGGGGGCAGACCUCCUAGUGAAAGGAAAGCAAGC